rnacentral:rRNA from 1 species
GACGAACGCUGGCGGCGUGCCUAACACAUGCAAGUCGAACGGAAAGGCCCUGCUUUUGUGGGGUGCCCGAGUGGCGAACGGGUGAGUAACACGUGAGUAACCUGCCCUUGACUUUGGGAUAACUUCAGGAAACCGGGGCUAAUACCGGAUAGCAGCUCCUGCUGCAUGGUGGGGGUCGGAAAGUUUGGGCGGAUGGGGAGGUACUCGCGGCUUAUCAGCUUGUUGGGGAGGUAGUGGCUUACCAAGGCUUGGACGGGUAGCCGGCCUGGGAGGGAGACCGGCCACAUAGGGCGUGGGAGGCGGCCCGGGCGGAUUCGGGGGGAAGGAGUGGAGAAUAUAGCACAAUGGGCGGAGGCGGGAAGGAGGAACGCCGGGUGGGGAAUGACGGCCUUCGGGUAGUAAACCGAUUUCGCCAGUAACGAGGUGUGAGGGAGGUAAAUGGGGAAAAAGGCACGGGCAAACUAGUG